rnacentral:tRNA from 1 species
AGAGAAAUGUAUAGGGUUACUGCUAAUAACUUUUUGUCAGUUAAGUUUGACUUUCUCUU